rnacentral:rRNA from 1 species
UACGUAGGGGGGCAAGCGUUGUCCGGAUUCAUUGGGCGUAAAGAGCGUGUAGGCGCCAGGUAGGUCGGUUGUGAAAACUGGAGGCUCAACCUUCAGAGGUCGACCGAAACCAUCUGGCUAGAGUCCGGGAGAGGAGAGUGGAAUUCCUGGUGUAGCGGUGAAAUGCGCAGAUAUCAGGAAGAACACCCGUGGCGAAAGCGGCUCUCUGGAACGGUACUGACGCUGAGACGCGAAAGCGUGGGGAGCGAACAGG